rnacentral:rRNA from 1 species
CAAGGCUGCAGGACGAACGCUGGCGGCGCGCCGAAUACAAGCAAGUCGAGCGAACCCGGGGUGCAUGCACCCCGAGGGUUAGCGGCGGACGGGUGAGUAACACGUGGGGAACCUGCCUUGCUGUCUGGGAUAACACCGGGAAACCGGUGUAACUACCGGAUGUCCCCUAUCCGGCACCUGCCGGAGAGGGAAAAGGCGGCUUUGAACCGCCGCAGCAAGAGGGGCCCGCGGCGCAUUAGUUAGUUGGCAGGGUAACGGCCUCCCAAGGCGACGAUGCGUAGCCGACCUGAGAGGGUGAUCGGCCACACUGGGACUGAGACACGGCCCAGACUCCUACGGGAGGCAGCAGUAGGGAAUCAUCCGCAAUGGACGAAAGUCUGACGGUGCAACGCCGCGUGAGUGAUGAAGGUUUUCGGAUCGUAAAGCUCUGUUGUGAGGGAAGAAUAGGAUGGGGAGGAAAUGCCCGAUCUGUGACGUACCUCA